rnacentral:rRNA from 1 species
GAUGAACGCUGGCGGCGUGCUUAACACAUGCAAGUCGAACGAUGAAGCCGGGAGCUUGCUCCUGGUGGAUUAGUGGCGAACGGGUGAGUAACACGUGAGUAACCUGCCCCAGACUCUGGG